GUUGAAGAGAAAGAAUUAAAAGGUUUAGAAACGGUUGUUGUUGUUGAAAAACUUAUAUAAGACUCAGAAGAAGUUAUUCCAAAUACAAGAAAGCCUCCUUGGCCAGCGCGUGUCGCUGUGUCUGGUCAAGGAGGGCAACGAGCGUAAACGAUGAAGAUGCAGACACACAUUUUUGUUCGUUCUCGCCCGCGAACGUAACAGUAACACCA